rnacentral:rRNA from 1 species
ACGAACGCUGGCGGCAGGCCUAACACAUGCAAGUCGAGCGAACCCUUUGGGGUUAGCGGCGGACGGGUUAGUAACGCGUGGGAUUAUGCCCAAAGGUACGGAAUAGCCUCGGGAAACUGAGAGUAAUACCGUAUGUGCCCUUCGGGGGAAAGAUUUAUCGCCUUUGGAUUAGCCCGCGUUGGAUUAGGUAGUUAGUGGGGUAAUGGCCUACCAAGCCGACGAUCCAUAGCUGGUUUGAGAGGAUGAUCAGCAACACUGGGACUGAGACACGGCCCAGACUCCUACGGGAGGCAGCAGUGGGGAAUCUUAGACAAUGGGGGAAACCCUGAUCUAGCCAUGCCGCGUGGACGAUGAAGGCCUUAGGGUUGUAAAGUCCUUUCAGCUGGGAAGAUAAUGACGGUACCAGCAGAAGAAGCCCCGGCUAACUCCGU